GAACUGGAGCAGGUUUCAUCUCCUCUGGACUGUGGCCUCACCCUGAUUUCUGGGCAUUAGGAUCUGGUGGUCCUCACCUCUGCCUUGGAGACCUCAGGGAUGCAGGGUGAAUAUUUUUUGCUCUCUCACCUAGCACUGCACCUGAAACUGAAAGUGAAGUCCAGAUAUAUUAAAGACAGGCAGCAAAAUCCCUGGAACAUACUCAGGGUUUCCAGAAGCUUGUCAUUGUUUGGAUCUAUCUUUCUGUCUCUUGGAGUCCCUGGAAUCAGCUGUAAGUGUCCCCACAUCAGUGAUGCUGAAAGCCAGGGCAGAUGGCUUCAAUCCCCCUGCAGUGUGACCUUCAGGGUAAGAUCUGCUUCCUAGUGAAACAGAGCUUUCCUUUCUCUGCAUGGGGCUGGUGGGUGCAUCAGUUAUUGUGUUCUUUAGUUGACUUAGCAGAAGGGUAGUUAGCUGAUUGUUAUAUGAUGCCUUUUACUUUAAAGGUUUACUUAUUUAUUUAAGCAGUAUUUACAAUACUGACUGAUUCCUCAGAUUUCCACUUCUUUAGAUCUGCCCUGAAUGUGAAGUGUUGUCCAUCAAACCAUGUGGUGGGGAAUAACAACCCCCUCAAACUGCAGCCCAGGUUUGAGGUGACAGUAGUUGGUGCUGUGGUGGCAGCUCUGCUGAUCCCCCUGAGCAAGGUGUGUGUGGUACACCAGGGUCUGUUGGUCUGGUGCUCAAUGCAGAGCUGGGUUAUGCUCAGUGAGGACUAGUGUGGUGUUUGAGUAGGCCACAACAGUUCCUCACAGUCUUGAGAAAUCCUUUGUUCAGUCUUAGGGAUUUACUCCUGUGGGACUUGGGAAAUUCAGUUAGAGAGCCUCAGCUCUUCCCCAUUAGGAUAAUAGAGGACUAUCUAGGAGCAUGCUGUACGAUCCCUCUAAGUCAGUAUCCUCUCUCUGAGUCAUAGCAGUGCCUUUUCCCAAAGUGACAGACUGGUUUGAUAGGAUACAGUUGUGUCAGAGUUGGAAGUACACAAGUGCAGUUAUUAAAAAUGAAUGCUGUAUCCUCUUUCCCUUGUGUAUCUUGUCACUGACAUGACUUCACAAGUUGCAAAUCUAUUAAACAUUUCAAACAUGAAACUAGAGCUCAUUAAGCAGAAUGUUGUCUGGUAUAUAGCAAACUGCUUCAAAUUCAAGACUGCUAAUCUUUGUCUCCAGAGCUUUUUGUCUUCUAGGUUGUCACCAAGCAAUCCAGCUGUCUGGGAAUACAGCUUGUGCUUCAUCUGAUCAGAGUGUGACUGUCCUUUGGGGUGAGGUAGUAGGUUGUAUAGUUUUAGGGCUAUGCCCUGCCUGUCACAUAACUAUACAAUCUACUGUCUUUCCUGAAGUGGCUGUGAUACCAGCGCUGGAUGUGCCUUUGAAAGACAACACUGAGAUUUUGCAACUGUAACAUUCUCUGGCUCUGUCUGUACCUUGCAUUUGGCUCUUGUACACACAUGUCCUUACAGAGUUUCGAUUCCUCUAUUUCCCAUUCAGGCCCCAAAGCCAUUUCCUUCCUGUGGUUUUCUCAGAGCAGGUGGGGUGU